rnacentral:rRNA from 1 species
GAUGAACGCUGGCGGCGUGCCUAAUACAUGCAAGUCGAGCGAACGGACGAGAAGCUUGCUUCACUGCUGUUAGCGGCGGACGGGGGAGUAACACGUAGAUGACCAACCUAUAAGACUGGGGUAACUUCGGGAAGCCAGAGACAAUACCGGAUAAUACUUUGAACCGCAUGGUUCAAGAGUGCAAGACGGUCUUGCUGUCACAUAUAGAUGGAUCCGCGCUGCAUUAGCUAGUUGGUAAGGUAACGGCUUACCAAGGCAACGAUGCAUAGCCUACCUGAGAGGGUGAUUGACCACACUGGAAGUGAGGCACGGUCCAGACUCCUACGGGAGGCAGCAGGAGGGAAUCGUGCGCAAUGGGCGAAAACCGGACGGCGAAGCGCCGCCGGAGGGCUGGAGGACUUCGGAUCGUAAAACCCUGUUAGUAGGGAAGAAAAUAUAGGUAAUUAACUGUGCACUGCUUGGACGAACCCAAUCAGAGAACCACGGCUAACUCCGAG